rnacentral:rRNA from 1 species
CAUGUCUUUUUGAUUAUAAUAUAAAGUCUGACCUGCCCUAUGAAUAAAUAUUUUUAAAUGGCUGCGGUACUUUGACCGUGCAAAGGUAGCAUAAUAAUUAGUUUUUUAAUUGAGAACUGGUAUGAAAGGUUUGACGAGGGAGAGACUGUCUCAAUUUAAUUUAAAUUAGAAUUUUAUUUUUAAGUAAAAAAGCUUAAAUAAUUUUAAAAGACGAGAAGACCCUAUAGAAUUUUAUAUUUAUAUAUUUAUUUGAAAGUUUCAGUAUUUAAGAUUUAGGUAAUUAUAUAAAUAUUUGGUUGGGGCAAUUAAAAAAUUAAAUAAACUUUUUUUAUAUUAAACCAUUGAUAUAUGAGUAAGUGAUCCAUAUUUUAUGAUUAUAAGAUUAAAUUACCUUAGGGAUAACAGCGUAAUUUUUUUUUAGAGUUCUUAUCGAAAAAAAAGUUUGCGACC